UAUAGCUUGACACUGAACAUUGAGCCUUGAUGUGUAGGAUAGGUGGGAGGCUUUGAAGCGUGGACGCCAGUCUGCGUGGAGCCAACCUUGAAAUACCACCCUUUAAUGUUUGAUGUUCUAACGUAGGCCCCUAAUCGGGGUUGCGGACAGUGUCUGGUGGGUAGUUUGACUGGGGCGGUCUCCUCCCAAAGCGUAACGGAGGAGCACGAAGGUUAGCUAAUCCUGGUCGGACAUCAGGAGGUUAGUGCA
rnacentral:rRNA from 1 species